rnacentral:rRNA from 1 species
AGUGAACGCUGGCGGUAGGCCUAACACAUGCAAGUCGAACGGCAGCACAGUAAGAGCUUGCUCUUACGGGUGGCGAGUGGCGGACGGGUGAGGAAUACAUCGGAAUCUACUUUUUCGUGGGGGAUAACGUAGGGAAACUUACGCUAAUACCGCAUACGACCUACGGGUGAAAGCAGGGGAUCUUCGGACCUUGCGCGAUUGAAUGAGCCGAUGUCGGAUUAGCUAGUUGGCGGGGUAAAGGCCCACCAAGGCGACGAUCCGUAGCUGGUCUGAGAGGAUGAUCAGCCACACUGGAACUGAGACACGGUCCAGACCCCUACGGGAGGCAGCAGUGGGGAAUAUUGGACAAUGGGCGCAAGCCGGAUCCAGCCAUACCGCGUGGGUGAGGAAGGCCUUCGGGUUGUAAAGCCCUUUUGUUGGGAAAGAAAAGCAGCAGGUUAAUACCCCGCUGUUCUGACGGUACCCAAAGAAUAAGCACCGGCUAACUUCGUG